ACCAUUUUAAGACGCCGGAAUACCCGUGAGGGGACGCGCACUCCCAACGGGGCGGAGCUAAGAGCGCCGCGCCCAAAAAAGGCGGCAAAGUCCCUGACACGCUGAGAACUUGUGAGUCGCCAUGUCUAUGCUCUCCGACGGCACGCCGUGCUUCCCCUCAGGCACCUUUCACCGUUAGGGAUGAGGGCCCCGCGGCGGUUCUGGGAGCACAGAACUUUCUUCCACCGGCGGAGGCCCGGAGGCCCCUGAGGAGUCCCUGCCAGUUCCAAGAUCGACAGCGCCUUUGUCUCUGGGUCAUCGUUCAUGCCUGCCCUGCCUGCUCCAGGGUGAUCGUGGGAAUGGAGCGGGACGUGUUGUACCAGAAUUGCUUUGAGAACUAAAAUGUUGUACAUGUUCUUAUUUACUUUAAACUUCACAAAUACAGGCCAGGA